AUGGGCAUUCUGUGACACUUUGGGGACGUCGACGGCCUAUGCAUAAUCCCCGAGAAAUCCUCAACCGCCCCUAUACGCUGCGAGGAGAUCAACCUUGAGGAGGUCCUGCAAAGUUUUAGGGGAUCAAUAGCUACCUUCCCAGUCGAAUACCUAGGGCUUCCAGUCACAACAUCUAGACUACGGCUAGUGCAUCUUCAGUCCAUCAUCGACGGAAUUAGAGCUAGGUUGGCAGGCUGGAAAGGCAGGUCGAUGCCGAUCGCCGGCCGGUGGGUGCUAGUCUGA
rnacentral:rRNA from 1 species